rnacentral:rRNA from 2 species
UGGGGGAUAUUGCGCAAUGGGGGAAACCCUGACGCAGCAACGCCGCGUGAAGGAAGAAGGUCUUCGGAUCGUAAACUUUUGUGUUUGGGGAAGAAACAAAUGACGGUACCCAAGGAGGAAGCCACGGCUAACUACGUGCCAGCAGCCGCGGUAAUACGUAGGUGGCGAGCGUUGUCCGGAAUUACUGGGUGUAAAGGGCGUGUAGGCGGGCUUGUAAGUCUGGUGUGAAAUACCGCAGCUUAACUGCGGGGCUGCAUUGGAAACUAUAAGUCUUGAGUGCUGGAGAGGGAAGCGGAAUUCCUAGUGUAGCGGUGAAAUGCGUAGAUAUUAGGAGGAACACCAGUGGCGAAGGCGGCUUUCUGGACAGUAACUGACGCUGAGGCGCGAAAGCGUGGGGAGCAAACAGG